AUGUCAAUGUUAAGGAACAACUCUGGCAAAGCAACUGCUGAAGUGGCAGCUCAUGUUCGUGAUCUUGAGCAGAAGCUGGAGAGGUCGGAGCUUCAAGCUGAAGUGAUGCCAGAAGAAUUGGCGGCAAUCAAGAUGAAGGCGGAAGAAGCUGAAGCUGCACGCGACAAGGAACUUGAGCUGCUGCGCAAGAAGUCUCAAGAUCAAGAAGAGAAGUUAGCCCACUUGAUGGCUCUCUUUGGAACUAAGGUAGUUUGA
rnacentral:rRNA from 1 species